GAGUUAAUACAGUUGGGAAUUUCCUGGGAAAGAGGGUAUUGCACAGCACUGAGCCAACACCACUCCUGAUAACAACUGUGCUUGUGAUUUUAUUAAGGAACAAGAUGAAGUUUGUUCUGUGACAGGAGCCCUUUGCCAUGAAAACUGCUGAUUGCUGUCCCAUCACAUCCCCACUCUCCAUCUCCUUCUCAGCUGCUCCAAACCACUUCAUCAGCCCAGGAGGGAGGCUGGAUGAACCAGCCUGAAACUUUGUGGACUUACCUGAGUCACGCUCUUCAAAUAUUGACUCAGUGCUGUUUUUCUUCUUGGAAAAGCUCUCCUGGGCUGUUCAUGAACUCUCACAUUCCCACCUGGUGUGAGAACAGCCAUCUGAAGAGCCAGCUCUGCAAAUGAUGACACACAUGUCCUCUAGACUCAAAAUGUUAGUUGUGCUUUUGAUGUUUUUUUUAAAGUUGCUUGGGUAGGAAGCAUUUCAUCAUCAUUAUAUAACAGGGAAAUGGCAUUCAACUUUGUCCCAAAUACAGGCAGGAAAUAUUUAUCAAA